rnacentral:rRNA from 1 species
UACGUAGGGUGCGAGCGUUAAUCGGAAUUACUGGGCGUAAAGCGUGCGCAGGCGGUGCUGUAAGACCGAUGUGAAAUCCCCGGGCUUAACCUGGGACCUGCAGUGGUGACUGCAGCGCUGGAGUAUGGCAGAGGGGGGUGGAAUUCCACGUGGAGCAGUGAAAUGCGUAGAGAUGUGGAGGAACACCGAUGGCGAAGGCAGCCCCCUGGGCCAAUACUGACGCUCAUGCACGAAAGCGUGGGGAGCAAACAGG